UCCAACCAAAACAGUCCCUAGCCUCUUUUGCUAUGCUCGGUGGCUUCAGCCAGGGCUGCAGUGGUUUGAUCAGGAUGAGGAUGAUGGUGGCCCCUGCGGUGGAGCACCGCGGGGCUGGGCUCAUUAGCAUGCUGAGAAAGCCCCAUCCUAAGAUGGAAAGUACCACCAAAGGCUCAUUUUAAUGCUCCAUAGUUGAAUAAGCCUGCAAACAAAAAAUAUAUCAUUAUCUGGGCACAUCUUGUAAUUCUUGUUCGAGCGUUUUGCAUAAUUUGCUGCUACUUUCAACUUUUCUGUUCCCCAUGUGGCAAUGUUUGACAAAGGGGAAAUAGUAAGCUAUCUAUUCUUGGAACAUUUUCCAUUGCUUAUUGUCAUGUGGCUUCAGGCCAGGCUCUAAUUCAAAGGAGAAAAAACACAUACAAUGAGGAGUAUGAAUAGGACUGUCUAGUGGAAAUCAAUACAGCUUUUAGUAGCGGUUUGGUAAAUGCUUCGUUACCUCUCACCUAGAGCUGGGGGUGGGAAGGGACCUUAGGCAAAGCCAGAUGAGUCAAAGAUCAGUCUCAUUAAAUACAGCUGGAGUACGCUCUCACCACUUACCACUUACAAAUGAUGAGGGAAAAGCAAGGAAAUGCACAAGAAAUGUCUUUCCCAUACCUGUGUGCUUGUGUGGUAAUAGGAUGCAUAUCUGAGGCAACAAUGUCUCAAAACUGCCAAUUAAGACCACUUGGGACUUAUUAUAUGAUAUAAACCUUUGCUCUGCAGUUUCCCAGUUGUUUGUAAGUACCCAGAGCAGCCCUGUGCUGCCGUUCCUGGGCACAUGCAAAGGCAGGGGCUGCAUCCUGCACGCAGACCUGCCUCUGCCCUCCUGCGAGGAUCCUCAUCCCCUCGGCUGAAUGGAAAAGCUUCCGCACCUUGCAAGGGCAAAGGUACCCAGUUCGGUGGGUAACAACACAGGUGUGGACGAAGUGACUGGCAGUGGAGGCCUCCAGAAGAAAUGCGAGAGCUGCGUGUGAUGCCCUGGCUGGGGCUGGUUGCUGCACUCACAGCCACAUCUCCAGGGGGUGGCAGAGGAAUUCACAUGGACAACAGCAAUACAGGGCAGCUUCCUGGAGUUUGUGACUGGGCCAAAACAGGAUCAGGCAGCCAGCAGAGCAGAUCUACGUAGCCAACAGAAACAGGCACCGAAGGCAGUACCUCCAGGAAAACAAACACAAGGAUAAAGGCACUGCAAAAAUGCGAUAUUAUGAUGAGGAAGAGAGCUGAGCUAUUGGAAUGACACAAGCACAGAAGGAGACAAUUGACUUGGGGGAUGAUGCUGGUGAGGGCAAAGGACCCUCCUCUGCCUCCACAAGCCAUCUGCUGAAGGAGUGGUGCAGCCUUCGUGCCGGGCGGAUGCCAUUCUGCUGCAAUGCUGAAGAAAUUUUUGGCUAAGAUGAUACGAGAAUCUAAAUCUACCGGGUCUGCAUCCCCCACCUCAUCCAUAUAUCUCACCAUGUCCUUGAAACUCUCCCUCCAUCAAGCCAACAUAAUGCUGUGCAGGACAACUUGUCCUCUCACAGACGGAGCUGAGUUCAAGACAGGUAUUGACCUCAGCUUUUGAAUCCUAACCAGCCUGUGAGGACACACUCUUGAUUUUUAGUUCCAGCCCCAGAUUCUCUGGACUCACAUGAAAAUACUUGAUACCCUGUGACUAAAUGAGUUCAAAGUGUGAAUUCUUCUAUCUCCCUAAGAAAAUUCACAUAUUAUUCCCAUCAGGUAAUUAAUCUAAUCUUUUCCUGCUGGAGAGCUACUGGAUUCCUCCAUGGUGUUCCUCACAGAGCCUAAAAUGGUCUGACCCUCCCCACUGCAGGUUAUGAAGCCCUCUUCCAAAACCUUCCUGCCACAAUGAGAAUAUUUCAUAGCUCUUAAAAUGAAAAGUUCACUAUUUCAGUGCAGGGACUGGGGAGGGAAAAUCUAACAGGAGCUUUGCCUGAACAUAUGACUCUCCUCAUACUUGUUUUGUGGAGAAAGCCUUGGUAUAAGGGGCUAGAUGGGUAGAAACAAGAGGCACUGGUGCUCUAGAUGUGCUCCUGGUCACAUUUCUAGAGCCUGCAAUGCCCCUGCCUGUGAUGUUAGCACUAUUUUGGGAGUAUGGGUGAGAUUUAGCAGCUUGCUGGGCAAUGGCUGCAAGGUGUGGUGUACCACAGACUUGGCACACACAAACCCGAGGCAGCAAGAGGUCUGGUCCCGAUCGAUGAAGCUCUUCCCUGAAGGCAGUCCCUGAGCUGGACGCUGUGAGGCUGUGGAGGUUAAUGACAGGGUCUCACUGUCCGCUGGAUCAAUAAUGAGGAGAGAGGUGGAUGUGCCACGGGCCCUGCCUGCCAAGUGCUCUUUGUGCUCCCCCUCAGACAGGAUUGGUGCACGUAAAUCAAAGCAGGGACCAUCGCAGCAUGUCGCGCUCAU